ensembl:lncRNA
CAUAUUUGAGCCCUUUUACCUAAUGUCAUCAAGGCAUGUUUCCAGAAUCCCAUGCCAGGUACCCCAGCACCAGCCCUGCCGUGCCCUUGCAUGAAGUGGCCGCUCCGUUCUUGGCCUGGGGGGAGGGAUGGUCGGGUGUCGAACUGGCUGCUGCUUCCUUACAGAGCAGCCCACAAGACAGGCUUUCCAAUAAAGCAAGAUAGAGACAAGUUAAAGCCGUAACAAGAAGCAAACCCAAGUCUUCCAAGGGAGCCCCUCAGACACGCUCCCCCCCAUGCUCAGCUGCGGGCCUCAAACCACUGUGUUUCUGUCUGGCCGAAGUGUGUGCUGAUGCUGCUCAGCGCCAUGCCACUGCCUCGUGGGAGUGAGCAUGUCCCAGGGAUGGACUGCUGUCUGCACACCACUUUGGUUUAAUUCUCCCAUUUCCUAACUGAUACACAAAAUCAUUUCUUAAAUAACGUCAUUUUUACAUUUAGAAGAGUUAAGAUACUGAUUUUUCUGCUCAGUCCAUUGGCUGUGGAAUCACUGAGUGAUGCAAGGCAGCUGUUCCUGCACUUUCAAAGUGCUAUUGCUGAGAACUGUGUACAUACAAAGGCAUAAAUAAACCUGCACUAGGAAGAAAGAACGUGGCAGAAACAGUAGAGAUCCUGGGAUGUGUGUUCAAGGCAAAGACAAGGACUUUCUGAAGAUAUGACAGAACACCAUGGCUCUCCUCUCCACCAACGAAGGACUCAACAAUCCAACAGAAGCCUUUAAGUUUCUGAAGAUCCACAGCCACAAGUGAAUGCCAGCACUGAGAUGGAGAAACCAGCCUGGCCAAGAGCCCUCCGCCCCAGGCCAUUACAGGAAGCUGUCGGCUUGCAGAAGGACCUGGGAAAUGAUGGUAGUGAUGACAGGAAAGAGAAGAGCUCCUGGUUAUUCUGUGCUCUCUAGUCAUCCACCCCGCCAUGGCCAUGGCCCUGCUCUCAGCUGAGCAAAGCGCUUCUGCAGAGCUGAGUCGCAGCAGAAGCCACAGCACUGUUCAGGAGGAGAGACUGAGCUCUCUGAAACUCCCCGGAAGUGGCACAAAGAUAAUAACUGAGAACUAAACUGAAAUAUCAUCAUUGAUUAAUAAGGUAACCAUUACAAAGAGCUGGGUGUCAGGAGAAGGGUUAAAGCAGCACUGAAGUCAGCUGGUAGGAUGCAGCCCCGGUGAUGGGAAACUCCCAGGAGAGUCAUCUGCCAGAGCCAUUAGAUGUUAUAAAACAUAAGGAAAAGUGCAACUUGGAGCUUUGCUUGCGCUGAUGUUAUUUUGUGGGGAGAAAAUUCAUUCUCUUGAAUAUGUCUGGACUCUCAGGUCCACAGUAAUAAUGUGCUAGAACAAAAAAAAUACUUAAUUUAGGAAAUUUGUUACAUUAUCAAAGACCUGUAAAACCUGAUUUUCUACCUUUAAGCACAGUAGCUGCGUUACUCAAAUUGCUAUGUAGAGCCCUUAUAUAUAUACACCAAAUUAUGAUGCUUAUUUCUUCUCUAUGUGGGCUGGACUCCGGAGAACAUGUUUUGAUCCUUUGUAGUGAAUACUAAAUUGUAAAAGUAACUGUAGAGUUGUGUUGUUCUCCACUUAACAAACUAAUAGUAAGCAACAUAUAUAGGGCAGGGGGAGAAGCUUUUAUAAAGACCAAAAAGAAAACAUAUUUAAAAGUAAGUGCUAAUCUUGUACUUCAGUCUGCUGUAUCUCAGCCUCACGGUCAUGGUGGUGCCUGACGUGCCUUGGACCUAAGCCUUGAAUCUGUCC